rnacentral:rRNA from 1 species
AUUGAACGCUGGCGGCAUGCCUUACACAUGCAAGUCGAACGGCAGCACGGGAGCAAUCCUGGUGGCGAGUGGCGAACGGGUGAGUAAUAUAUCGGAACGUGCCCAGUCGUGGGGAUAACGUAGCGAAAGCUACGCUAAUACCGCAUACGAUCUAUGGAUGAAAGCGGGGGAUCGCAAGACCUCGCGCGAUUGGAGCGGCCGAUAUCAGAUUAGGUAGUUGGUGAGGUAAAGGCUCACCAAGCCGACGAUCUGUAGCUGGUCUGAGAGGACGACCAGCCACACUGGGACUGAGACACGGCCCAGACUCCUACGGGAGGCAGCAGUGGGGAAUUUUGGACAAUGGGCGCAAGCCUGAUCCAGCAAUGCCGCGUGCAGGAUGAAGGCCUUCGGUUGUAACUAGCUUUGUACGGUAACGAAACGGUGAGC